UGCAUGCAUGACUGGAAGUUGCUUUGGAUAAAAGCGUCUGCUAAACGGCAUUAA
rfam:Salmo salar isolate Sally breed double haploid chromosome ssa22, whole genome shotgun sequence.